AGUAGCGGCGAGCGAAGCGGGAAGAGCCCGGUGUGAAAAUCUCUUCGGAGAAUUGUAUUUGAGUGUCCUUUGGGUGGUCAGUGCGAGCAAGUUGCUUGGGAUAGCACGCCAUGGAGGGUGAGAGCCCCGUCCAUCUCGCACAGGAUCCAUCCGUACAAGGGCGCUUCAACCGAGUCGGGUAGCUUGGGAAUGCUGCUCUAAUUGGUGGUAAAUCUCAUCAAAGGCUAAAUAACGGUGGGAGACCGAUAGCGAACAAGUACCGUGAGGGAAAGGUGGAAAGAACUUUGAAAAGAGAGUGAAAAGAACUUGAAACCGUCACGGGGGAAGCGGAUUGCGUGAGUGGUGGUGUCGCUUGUUCAGCGCCUUUUGGCGUGCAUUCUGGCGAUACCUUGUCGUUGUGGCUGGUUGGUACGUGAAUAUGACGUACUAGCUGGUGAGGGCUCCCUCCGGGUGAGGACAACGACAAAAUGACGCAAUACGACCCGUCUUGAAACACGGACCAAGGAGUCUAGCACGGCUGCGAGUCGAAGGGUGUAAAACCCAAGGGCGCAGUGAAAGCGAAUUUAUAAGCAAAUUGGGGAGGCGUGGAGUUUUUAACAAAAUGUCCUACCUUGAGCAUUUGUGCUGGGACCCGAAAGAUGGUGAACUAUGCCGGAGUAGGGCAAAGCCAGAGGAAACUCUGGUGGAGGCUCGUAGCGAUGCUGACGUGCAAAUCGCUCGUCGAACUUGGGUAUAGGGGCGAAAGACUAAUCGAACCAUCUAGUAGCUGGUUCCCUCCGAAGUUUCUCUCAGGAUAGCGGGCCGACAUAUGUUGUUUUGUGCGGUAAAGCGAAUGAUUAGUGCAUUUGGGGUCUGAUAGACUUCGGGCGAUUCUCAAACUUUAAAUGCGCAAGGGGGUGGCUGCUUAAUUGAGCCUACUCUUUGAAAAACGUCGGCCCUGUGGGCCACUUUUGGUAAGCAGAACUGGCGAUAAGGGAUGAACCUUAAGCGCGGUUAAGGCGCCGCAUUGCCCGCUUAUAGACCCCACAAAAGGUGUUGAUUCAUUUAGACAGCAGGACGGUGGCCAUGGAAGUCGGAAUCCGCUAAGGAGUGUGUAACAACUCACCUGCCGAAUGAAUUAGCCCUGAAAAUGGAUGGCGCUUAAGCGGGCAGCCGACACCGCGCCGUUCCGGCGAGACGAUGCCGGGAUGAGUAGGAGGGCGUGGCGGUCAGUGACGCAGGCGAGGGUGCAGACCCCGCUGAAACGGCCGCUAGUGCAGAUCUUGGUGGUAGUAGCAAAUAUUCAAGCGAGAUCCUUGAAGGGCGAAGCGGGGAAGGGUUCCACGCAAACAUCGAUUGGGCGUGGGUGAGUCGUUCCUAAGCCGAGUGGCAAUUGCUAAGUAGCGGCGAAAGGGAAGCGGGUUAAAAUUCCCGCACACGGAUAUGGAGGCGGCGACGCAAGCAGAGGCAAAUACGCUGGCGAGGGCGCUGGGCAGAGUUGUCUUUUCUGUUUGACCGGCAUCGCGCUGUGUGGAAUCCGCUUAUCGGGAGAAACACGCGCGG
rnacentral:rRNA from 1 species